GUGGCUAUGUGUAACUGGCGAGGUAUACGGAAUAACCGUAGGGGAGCACAUAGUAUCGACAAGUCGCUCGCCUGGGCAAAAGGU
rnacentral:ncRNA from 2 species